CAGCUUGUUGGUGAGGUAACGGCUCACCAAGGCGACGAUCCGUAGCUGGUCUGAGAGGACGAUCAGCCACACUGGGACUGAGACACGGCCCAGACUCCUACGGGAGGCAGCAGUGGGGAAUCUUGCGCUAAUGCGGGAAACCGUGACGCAGCGACGCCGCGUGAGGGAAGAAGGCCUUCGGGUUGUAAACCUCUUUCAGGAGGGACGAAGCCACUCGGGUUAAUAGCCCAGAGGGUGACGGUACCUCCAGAAGAAGCCCCGGCUAACUACGUGCCAGCAGCCGCGGUAAUACGUAGGGGGCAAGCGUUGUCCGGAUUUAUUGGGCGUAAAGAGCGUGUAGGCGGCUAGGUAGGUCCGUUGUGAAAACUCGAGGCUCAACCUCGAGACGUCGAUGGAAACCAUCUAGCUAGAGUCCGGAAGAGGAGAGUGGAAUUCCUGGUGUAGCGGUGAAAUGCGCAGAUAUCAGGAAGAACACCCGUGGCGAAGGCGGCUCUCUGGUACGUGACUGACGCUGAGACGCGAAAGCGUGGGGAGCAAACAGGAUUAAA
rnacentral:rRNA from 1 species